UUUCCGUAGGUGAACCUGCGGAAGGAUCAUUACCGAGUGCUGGGUCCUUCGGGGCCCAACCUCCCACCCGUGCAUACCGUACCCUGUUGCUUCGGCGGGCCCGCCUUCGGGCGGCCCGGGGCCUGCCCCCGGGACCGCGCCCGCCGGAGACCCCAAUAGAACACUGUCUGAAAGCGUGCAGUCUGAGUUGAUUGAUACCAAUCAGUUAAAACUUUCAACAAUGGAUCUCUUGGUUCCG
rnacentral:misc_RNA from 1 species